rnacentral:rRNA from 1 species
GGCUUGCUGCCUGAAGAAGAGUUCGCGCUCUGAUUAGCUAGUCGGUGGGGUAAGAGCCUACCCAGGCGACGAUCAGUAGCUGUCUGAGAGGACGAUCAGCCACACUGGGACUGAGACACGGCCCAGACUCCUACGGGAGGCAGCAGUGGGGAAUUUUCCGCAAUGAGCGAAAGCCUGACGGAGCAACGCCGCGUGAGGGAGGAAUGCCUGUGGGUUGUAAACCUCUUUUCUCAGGGAAGAAGAACUGACGGUACCUGAGGAAUCAGCAUCGGCUAACUCCGUGCCAGCAGCCGCGGUAAUACGGAGGAUGCAAGCGUUAUCCGGAAUUAUUGGGCGUAAAGCGUCCGCAGGUGGCUUACCAAGUCUGCUGUCAAAGCGCAGGGCUUAACUCCGUAAAGGCAGUGGAAACUGGUAGGCUAGAGUGCGACAGGGGUAGAGGGAAUUCCCAGUGUAGCGGUGAAAUGCGUAGAUAUUGGGAAGAACACCAGUGGCGAAGGCGCUCUACUGGGUCGCAACUGACACUCAUGGACGAAAGCUAGGGGAGCGAAAGGGAUUAGAUACCCCUGUAGUCCUAGCUGUAAACGAUGGACACUAGGCGUUGGACGUAUCGACCCGUUCAGUGCCGUAGCUAACGCGUUAAGUGUCCCGCCUGGGGAGUACGCACGCAAGUGUGAAACUCAAAGGAAUUGACGGGGGCCCGCACAAGCGGUGGAGUAUGUGGUUUAAUUCGAUGCAACGCGAAGAACCUUACCAGGGCUUGACAUCCCGCGAAUCCUCUGGAGACGGAGGAGUGCCUUCGGGAGCGCGGAGACAGGUGGUGCAUGGCUGUCGUCAGCUCGUGCCGUGAGAUGUUGGGUUAAGUCCCGCAACGAGCGCAACCCUCGUUUUUAGUUGCCAUCAUUCAGUUAGGCACUCUAGAGAGACUGCCGGUGACAAACCGGAGGAAGGUGGGGAUGACGUCAAGUCAUCAUGCCCCUUACGUCCUGGGCUACACACGUACUACAAUGCUUCGGACAAAGGGUUGCCAACCAGCGAUGGUGCGCUAAUCCCAUAAACCGAGGCUCAGCUCAGAUUGCAGGCUGCAACUCGCCUGCAUGAAGGAGGAAUCGCUAGUAAUCGCAGGUCAGCAUACUGCGGUGAAUACGUUCC